rnacentral:rRNA from 1 species
GUUUGAUCCUGGCUCAGAACGAACGUUGGCGGCGUGGAUAAGACAUGUUGUGCGUUGGUUGCAGGGUAGCAAUAUUCUGCAAUCGGAGCGGCGCAAGGGUGCGUAACACGUGGGCAAUCUGCCGUGAAGUUUGGGAUAAUUCGCGAAAGCGGGACUAAUACCGGAUGUGGCAACUGGGAGGCAUCUUCUGGUUGCUAAAGUUGGGGACCGCAAGCCUGACGCCUCACGAUGAACCCGCGGCCUAUCAGCUAGUUGGUGAGGUAACGGCUCACCAAGGCAAAGACGGGUAGCUGGUCUGAGAGGACGACCAGCCACACUGGAACUGAGACACGGUCCAGACACCUACGGGUGGCAGCAGUCGAGAAUUUUUCACAAUGGGCGCAAGCCUGAUGGAGCGACGCCGCGUGGGGGAUGAAUGGCUUCGGCCCGUAAACCCCUGUCAUUCGCGAUCAAACGUUGGUAUUUAAAAGAUGCCAGCCUGAUAGUAGCGGAAGAGGAAGGGACGGCUAACUCUGUGCCAGCAGCCGCGGUAAUACAGAGGUCCCGAGCGUUGUCCGGAAUUAUUGGGGCGUAAAGAGCUCGUAGGCGGUGUGUCGCGUCUGCUGUGAAAACUCAAGGCUCAACCUUGGGCUUGCAGUGGGUACGGGCACACUAGAGUGCGGUAGGGGUGACUGGAAUUCCUGGUGUAGCGGUGGAAUGCGCAGAUAUCAGGAGGAACACCGAUGGCGAAGGCAGGUCACUGGGCCGCAACUGACGCUGAGGAGCGAAAGCAUGGGGAGCGAACAGGAUUAGAUACCCUGGUAGUCCAUGCCGUAAACGUUGGGCACUAGGUGUGGGACCCAUUCCACGGGUUCUGUGCCGCAGCAAACGCAUUAAGUGCCCCGCCUGGGGAGUACGGCCGCAAGGCUAAAACUCAAAGAAAUUGACGGGGGCCCGCACAAGCGGCGGAGCAUGCGGAUUAAUUCGAUGCAACGCGAAGAACCUUACCAAGGCUUGACAUGUACCGGAAACAUCCAGAGAUGGGUGCCCCGUAAGGUCGGUGCACAGGUGGUGCAUGGUUGUCGUCAGCUCGUGUCGUGAGAUGUUGGGUUAAGUCCCGCAACGAGCGCAACCCUCGUCCCAUGUUGCCAGCGGGUUAUGCCGGGGACUCAUGGGAGACUGCCGGGGUCAACUCGGAGGAAGGUGGGGAUGACGUCAAAUCAUCAUGCCCCUUAUGUCUUGGGCUUCACGCAUGCUACAAUGGCCGGUACAAAGGGCUGCGAUACCGUAAGGUGGAGCGAAUCCCAAAAAGCCGGUCUCAGUUCGGAUUGGGGUCUGCAACUCGACCCCAUGAAGUCGGAGUCGCUAGUAAUCGCAGAUCAGCAACGCUGCGGUGAAUACGUUCCCGGGGCUUGUACACACCGCCCGUCAAGUCAUGAAAGUCGUAACACCCGAAGCCGGUGGCCUAACCCGUUUGGGGGGAGCUGUCGAGGUGGGACUGGUAAUUAGGACUAGUCGUAACAAGGUAGCCG